AAUAACAAGUAAUAGGACAAGAGGAAAUGGCUUCAAGGUGCACCAGGGGAAGUUGAGAUUGGAUGUUAGGAACUAUUUCUUCACCUAGAGUGUGAUCAGACAUUGGAACAGGCUUCCCAGGGCAAUGGUAUUAUCACCAUCCCUGGAAGUGUUCAAAACCUAUGUAGUUGAGUCCCUCACUGACAUGGUUUAGUGGUGGACUUGGCAGUCCUGGGGUAAUGGUUGGACUUGAUAACCUUAAAGGUCUUUUCCAACCUAGCUGGUUCUGUGAUUCUAUAUGCUGCCUCUCAGCCUGUUCUUAAUUCAGGUUUGCUGUCUUGGGUCUUUCAUGCUUGGGCACAGUUCACUCCACCAUCCUUUCCCUUAACUAAAGGAAGGGGGUGGCUAUGAUAAUUUGAAAAGUAACAUCAACAUUUUUUCUGUAGAAGGUUUGAAAACAUCAACUGAUUCCUGGAAAGCACAGCUAAUCUUUUGUGCCUGUGCACAUAAUCAUGUAUGAAUUGAAUAGCUUCCUAGAUGCAAAUUUAAUCUCAUUUGUUCAUCUCUCUCUAGGCUCAAUGAAGAUAAUGUGGAUUGAUCAAAAAUAAUGCUCUCCAUGUCUGUUUUCCUCCAUCUUCAUAACAAGAAUAAGACUUUCCCAACAGUGUGGUGGUGAAGCUCAUGAUCAACUGAAAUAUUUGAGUGCCUCAGAGAGAAUGUGAUGGUGAUGUGUGCUCUAUUUCCAUUUCAUGAUCUACUUGCCGCUUUUAACAUAGGAGUUGAAAAUUGUCAUGGGAAGAUUAUUUCUGAACUUGAUCAACUAAAGGGUUAAGAUCCUCUCCUGACAUUCAAGAAGGUGGUCCUGUUGCUUGCUCGUAGGCUGUGAAGUGUUGAUGUUUCUCUUCUAGCAAGCAAAAACCUGUCCUUCACUUCCAUGGAGCUGAACGAACAAAGAUCUCUUCGCUUCUUGUUUCAACCAUCUCACCCAACAUUUGAUUCACCAGAUGACUUCUCCCACAGAAGUACCCCAUCAUUUUAUCACAACUCAAAAGCAGAGUAACAGAAAUCAGCAGUUGUUUCCUGAAGAAAUGUCCUCUGUGCAAGCUCUUCAUCCAGCUCUUGGCAUUCUGUUUUAAAAUAAGAAAUAUUUUGUAAUCAGGUUCAAGUGCAAGCUAGUAUUCUUCACUGAUACCUCCUUCAUUUUAGGAAGGUUAAGUACUUCACUGUGUCGUAUUGGAAGUCCUAGCAGAUAAAGUGUCUGCAAACAUUGCUGUUUCAAGCUGUCUUGAUAUACUUAAAAAAAUGCAGUAGGAAAAACAGAACGUAUUUUCUGCUCUGACAUGAGGAAGAAACUUACCAAGCCAUUGGAGAUGUCCCAUACAGGUAUUUUCUAGUCCAAAACCCAGGCUUGACUUUGGAGAUAGAUGUCUUUGAUGUCAACUUGCAUAAAGCAUCUAGUGCAGAGGAAAAAAUGCAGAAUUACCUUGUCUGUACUGUGUAAAUGCCUUGACCAAGGCUGUGAUCAAAAUAUAUAUUUGCCUGUCUAAACCUGAUGUAGGUGCUGGAUAUGAAGAGCUUUCACCAGAAGGAGAAAUUACUCUGCAGCAUUUAAUUUUUGGCAAAGAAAAGUGAAGCUUUAAAGGCCUCUGGGGUAACAAAAUAAUGAUUAGGUUUAUGUUAAAUCAUUCCCCCCUCUGUCUUUUCAUGACUCCUUAGCUGCAAAAGGAAGAAACCCAGGAACAUGUGGUAGAAGAAAUGGGGCAGAACUUCUUUCUUUAUUAAAGAAACUAACUUCUGGUGGGAUAGAAGAGACCAGAGAGGUAAAGUUGCAGUUUAUCCACUUGACUUCCUUGGCACAGUUUGAGUUUUCAAUACUGCUGAUGGAAUCAGUUUUUUGAUUCUUCUGUGACUCAGAACUGACGUGACCUGUGUGUUACCAUCUAUAAGGUAGAAACAGGCCCAAGAGAACAGGCUGUUACCACGUAAGAGGGGUGAUUUGAGAGAGAAGAAAUACUUAGGAUGGGCCUUUUUUGGUUCCUCAUAUUCUUUCCCAAACUAAGAUGCAGUCUGUUGUUCUUAUGUUUACACAAGGUUCUUUGUCUCCGUCAUUUGUGAUUAUAUAGGAUGUUUUCUGUCAUUCUGAGAUGGGAGUGUAUGUUGAUUAUGUGCUCCCUGCUGUGGUAUUAUAUAUGGGAAGUAGGAUUUCUUGGCAAAAAGCCCCACAACUGGGAUAUGUAUUCUGUUCCACUUCAAAUCUGAAGCUCUUCUUAGUGCACCUUAUUCCGAGCUUGUGAUUUAGCAAAUGUGACUUACUAGCUAAAGUAGUAUUUUCAAAUCUGAAUCAAAUAAAGGUAUAUAAGUUCUGUUAAUAGGUUUUGGGAGAUGGUAGAGUCAUUGGGGGGUGGGGGUGGUGUUUUAGAUUUCUUCUUCUGUUUUUGCUUUUAGAAAACUGCUGGACAGAGUCAGACAGCCUGAAAAUGGCUGACAAAGCCAACUGAAAUCCUUAAAUCUUAAUGAUGGAUUGCAAGGGCAGUGUUCUGAUACUUAAAAUGUAGUCACAUUUUAUGGGACCAAGUUCCAUAGCAGAGUAAGGGCGAGUGUUGAUGUUGAUCCUCCUUUUCAGAGUUAAGUCUGUGUUUAGACUUGCAUUGUAACAAUACAAUUUAAUUAUAGCUUUCCCAUUUGUUGUUUCUGUGAAGAGCAGACAUGAAAGUGGUGGGCAAGACACUGCCUAUCAAAGUAAUGCCAAAUGUAAUGAGCACUAAAAUUUUGUGUAACAUUGCAAUGAGCUGUUUGAUCACAGUCAUGUUGAUCUUGAUGAGGCAACCACCAGCUUGGCCUGACUGCUUUUAAAAACAUAGGAUUGCUGAAUAUGGUUUGAAUUUUCUGCCAUUGGAGGCUACUAGAAAAGCACACUUCCUUUUAAGGCCUCCUUAGGCUGAAACCAAUGGGAUUUAAAGUAGAUGUCUGUAGAAGCAGGAUCCAUCUCUAAGUGAUGGAAAAUACUGUCAAUAUCGUAAGAUUGUAAGUAGUUGGUUAGUAUCUGGUGAAAGAAACAGCUGAUUUUUAGGUUUGGGAAUUUCCUUUUCUUCCUUCUGGUGUUAGGGCUAGCAGUUGUUUCUUGCAUAGCUUGAUGGCAAAAUAAUUGGGGGACAGGAAGGUAUUUUUGUUUCCUGUGAACAUGUAUAAAAACAAAGCACUUGUCUGACUGGAGAGUAGCCACUUUAAGCUGUUUGAUUUAUUUUUCCAUAUAAAUAAUCCUCGCCAUUUUGUAACCCUGUAUUGUAACAAAAAAUAGAAUUGCUGACUUUUCCUGACUCUUCUCCAUGGCAAUGUAACAUUAGUUUUCAAGUUUCAUUUUAGAACAGAAUAUUUCUAGCAGGGCUAAGGAUCUGUGGCUUUCACAGAAGUAAUACCCAUACAUGCCCGGAAGACCCCACUGCCAUACAUUUCUGGCCAGCACCUUACAUAACUGCUGUGUUGGGAAAUGCUGCCUCAGCCUACUUUUUAUUGUUCCACUUUUAUUUCUCUGUUGGUUGGAAAUCUUCCCAUGUGAAACAUGACAAAAACAAGGGGCAAGUGCAAUAGAACAUAUAUAUAUACAUAUAUAUAUUUUAAUACUUGUGGACAAAAUGAUGUUACAAGUUGUUUGAAAACAACAAAAUCACCAAUGUCUUCCAUUUUGAGAUGUGUAUAGUUCCAUAAGCAUUAGUGCUUUGUAGCAAACUGUAGUGCCAUGUUAGGAUCAGUGCAUGAGCCUAGUAGUAUUUUUACAAUUUGAGUGACAAAUUUAUUAAUAAACAGUGAUAAUAAUGUAAUUAACAAUAGAAAGGAUACAAUAGAAAUGUCACAAACGUGGUCUAAACAUGCAGUAUCCUCCCUUUGACAAUGGCAACGCUCUCUUUAGAAAUGAAACGCCUUUACCUAAUGGGCUUCAUAGAAUCAUAGUUGACUUUGUGCUUUUAGUCUAUCUGUUCAGCUGCAAUAGUAAGCUGCUGUACGUAGGCAUCCAGGAUUCUCAUCUCUUAUUGGUGGGAUUCUUUUUAGUCUUUGUUUAAGGUGUUUUCUUCCAUGUGCAGCUUUUACAAUUUUAUUAUUACCCAUCCUGUUAUAGACUCAAAAGUAUGUUGAUGAGUUUAUGUGCAUUUUGUGCACAUCCCUGCUACUGUGAGAUCAUCUACAAUAUCUCUUGAGUAAUUUUUUUCUUCAGCUAUGACUAUAUAAUUGUUACAACUAGUUAAACGUUAACCUCAUUAUAUAAUAAGUUGAUAUUUGCAAAAUGCUAUCUGCAUAAUAAAAGUAGAAGGCUUUUAUCCAUUAUUGCAGGAAUGGGGAACCUUUCUUGACUGAAGUUCUGUUGAUCUAUUAGUACCUGUGGUGGAUCCUGCAUUUACAUACAUCAUAAUAAAAGAAAUCGUAAUAAGGUCAAGGGCUGUUGAAAAACAGCACUGCAGACUGUAUCUGUGCAGCAGGCUAUCUCAAGCCUAUGGGUCAGAGAUUCCCCACCCCUGUAUUACUGAGAAAUCAAUAUCCUGUAUUUUAGGUAACUUCUAGUGUUGCUUUCCAGCUCUAAGCUCAAUUUUAAUAAUUUCUGUCUCUCCCUCUGCUUUUUUUCAGAAGAAAAGUUUAGACCAGGGGAGGUCCAAAUGAUUUUGCUCUCAAUGGGCAGCUUGGACUGGUAUGAUUCCAGAUGUGCGAUGCUCUGUGGAUGGCAUCCUCUGAUUUCCUAGGAGAAAGUCUUUUAUUUGGUGACAGUAUUGCUCUUCACCCAUUUCUAUCUUUUACAAGAACAAAAUUCUCCAACUUAGAGAGGAUACUGCAUCUUUUUUCCUGAGACCUGCCUGUAAAUGGCCAUUAGGGGGAGGGAGGGAAUGGGUAGCUUUGUUUUGAUAAGAUGUAUCUCUAAAGUGAUUAAUCAAGAAGCAUGUUCUUUGGUGCAAAACCAGUAACCGGGCAGAGUUAAUGUAUGUAACAGGGAAAGCAAACAAAUAGAAACCCCUAAACAACCAACCCUCUGCAUCUAAUUGAUUUCCAAGAAAAUUGGUCAGGGGGGCCAUUUACAGCAGCGCUCUGGGAACCUUUGCUGAGAGUUAGGUUCAGUUUUCUAUGGAAGUAGCUGUACCAUUAAAUAUAGUAGUUUAGUGCUUGGGAGAAUCAAUUGAAAAAUACCUCUGAAACUGGAAUGCAAAAUAGCACAGUAUGUAGGGGGAAGAAUCCCUGAUGCAAACAAAGCCAUAAGAUGAUUUAAUAAGAAAAUAGAACUUUAGUAGCAAUAACUGUUUUGCAUGUGAUAGUAAAUAACUUGCAUUAGCAAGAUUGUACAGUAGAAUAAGUGGGUAAUAACCAAAUAAGUUUGUGGCGCUCUGUGCUGCAGGGAGUUGCGUGAAGAUUCUCUUCCUGAGAACAUGGGUGAAUUCCUCUUCUGUUCCUCUCAUUGGAGGGAAUUUAGCACUUGAAUACAUUGUUAAUGAACCAUAUAUAUAUAUAAAAAAACCAAGAAAGCUCUGUGACAGAUCUGAAGAACUGCAGUGAGUGCUGGGGAAGAGCAGACAGUUCUUUUUGAAGGGAUAGCUGAAGUUUUCUUCUAGUUUUCUCUCUUUUGUAGCCUAGCACUUCUGUUUCUCUGAGAAGAAACUAAACCCUUCCAAAUACUAGAGUGUGGUGAGAACCUGAUUCUGAAGUUAAAAGCUUUUAUUGUGGGAUGUACUUUUUGUUUUCUUUGCUUAAAAAGACCAAUUUGAGAUGGUCUUUAAAUAAGAAGUUAGAGAACACUUGACACUCAGACCAUUUGUUACAGCCCCAGCACAACUGUAGAGGUCUAAAAAUGUUGCUUUACAGGAAAAUAAUUUUAGCCUUGCUAAACACUGUUUGAAACCAUAAUUGAUUUCUGUUGAUGCCUGAAGUUUUGCAGAGGCAAGUACUGUGGAGCCUCUGGUAAAGAGUUAUUGAUCUACAGCUGUAGCCUCUGCACCCAGCAAAGUAUUUCCUAUGAAACAGUUACAUAAAAGAGCCACAGGAGUUCUGAAAUGUUCAUAGUUGAUGCUGCUUUCAGUGCAGAUAGGUGCAGAGACAACAUGGCCUAACAGAUAGUAACUCUGUUCAGAACACAUUAUUACAUCAGAGGUUUGAAUCUGUCUGGCUGAAUUUCUUCUAGGAAGCUGAGGCAGUUUGAAGUCUAACUUCCAGCUGAAAGGAAGCUUCUAGUGUUCUGAAAUUAUGGAGGUGAAGCCCUUUGGCUCUUCAGAAGUUGAGAAUGGCACUAUGAGGGCUGUGAGCAUUUUUGCAGUAUAAAGUAACCAAGAUAAGCAUGAGAAUGUCUAAACUAAGUGUUGGAUAAUCCGGAAUAUGUGUAUGAAAAGCUAAUUGAUGUGGGAGGUUGUAAUCCACUCAAAUUCCAGCUAAUGAAUUAUUGAUCAAAUUGGCAGCUGCCCAUAGGGGACUUUAAUUUGAUUGUUAUCUGCUUGCAUUAGAGAAAUUAUAAAUUUAUUCUGGUCUGUGGUCAGCAAAUACAUUUCCAUAAUAAUGAAAACAUGGUCAUGUUCCUGCUUCAGAAAUAUGAACUUUGGCUGAAUAGAAUUCAAGGGUUUCUUCAUUCAGAGAAGCAUAAGUAGAGGGAGGUAAGGAAUCAAGCCUGCUGUAGUCACGCAAGCUAUCUGCAUAUUCUUCCCAAGUCAGCCUUAUUAUAGUGCUAUGUAGUCUGUUGUCUACUAGACUAGAAAUCACUGUUCACAGCAGCAAAAGGAAUCCCUUUGCCUUUCAGCUCUUGUGCUAUGGUAUGACUUUUGCUCCAACCCCCUGUAUUACACUGCUUCUAAAACUAAAUGAAAGUGUUAGAAGCAACCACAUUGCAGUGUGGGGUAUCAAAGGUGUAAUGACCAGUACUGACAUGCCUCUUUGCAGAGCUAAACCCAGUUGAUUACAAGCUGUUUCCACAUCCAUUAGUGCUGCUGCAGACGGUCUAGCCAGAACCUGUGUUGGGAAUUGCACCUUCAGGAAUUGCACCUUCUGCAAGUGAGGGUAAUUGUCAAAUUCAGAACAAAAGAGAAAGUCUUGCAAAGGGUCCUUGAUAGUGAG